UACGUAGGUGGCAAGCGUUGUCCGGAUUUACUGGGCGUAAAGAGCGCGCAGGCGGUCGAUCAAGUCGCGUGUGAAAGCCCCCGGCUCAACUGGGGAGGGUCACGCGAUACUGAUCGACUCGAAGGCAGGAGAGGGUAGUGGAAUUCCCGGUGUAGUGGUGAAACGCGUAGAUAUCGGGAGGAACACCAGUGGCGAAGGCGACUACCUGGCCUGUUUCUUGACGCUGAGGCGCGAAAGCUAGGGGAGCAAACGGGG
rnacentral:rRNA from 1 species